CUACCUCGAGCUUCAGGCUUGUUGUUGGGUACCGCCCGUGAGGGCGCACUUCAAAUCCAUUGGCGCCUCUGACGGCCCCCAAACGCAUAGAGCUUAACCGCCCGCGUUUGGAGGCCUGAUAGGGGGUGGCCUCUUUGCCUGCGUGCAGCUUCCCUAGC
rnacentral:misc_RNA from 1 species